GGAGCAACACAAUGGAGGGGCACCCCACUCUGGGUGGGAUACUGGGGAGCAGUGGUCAGCAGGUGACUUUUGAAUUAAAUUUUGAAAGAUAAGCAGAGGUUUACCAAGGAGACAAAGGGCAAAGGGGAAAUCCCGCCAGAGGCAGGAGGACACACAAAAGCAUCAAGUGGUGUGUUUAAAGAGAUGCUGAAAAUUGCUAGAGACCAGGGAAUUUGAGAGCAAGGCCACAGGGAAUUAAGGUCCAGACAUUCUAUUUAAAUGGAUGUAUGAAUGCAUCCAACAUAAUCACCUCAUUCAGUCCUUAUUACAUGUUUUAUUGCUGUUCCUAUCAAAGUAUAAAAAGGAUUUGCUCAGCUAUUUUAUAAUUUGUCAAUUUAUACCUCUACAUCAUUAAAAUAUUUCCCUUGAUCCCAGGAAAUUCCUUGAUGGAGAGUGAGAGUGAUCCUUUCUUUGCAUUUACUGUCUUAUACAAGUUGGAAUGCAUUGUCUAUCUAAAAAAAAAUCAUGAGACAUGUCAACUGUUACUCGAAGGUGUGGAUGGUACAGUUCACAGCACUAAAUGCUGCCUUGCACUGUUCCUACUCAAUGGGAGGUAGACAGACUCUCAGAGACAUCAGAUUUAGAGUUGAUGCUUCAGAAACUGUUCAUUGACAGCAUACGCUAGCAUCUUCCCUUAAUGACACAUCUGUGCUUUUGCUUUUAUGGUUUCCUCUCUACUUUACAGACUCAACCUUUAAGUCCCCCUCUCUUUGAAGGCAAGAAUAUGACAAGUCAAAGAUGAUUGCAGGAGUGGGUGAAGGCAAAUAAUGGCUGGCAACUUUCCAGGUGAUUAUAGAGCUGAGAACAUGUCACCCUAAUGGAGGUUAUCUUUGAUAACCACAGCCUGGUUCAGAUACGCUACAAACAUUAGAUUUUACUGUGUAGCCGGUACAUUAAUUUAUGCAUCGUUUUCUUGACUGUUCAUUCUUAGAAGUAUUAACCCAGUGUAAUUCAGUCCCUCCUUCGUAAGCCUUCCAUAGGAAGAUUAGAACAAUUUUAGUGACUAUAAACUAUCUAGGCUUAGCAGAUGCUGGUAAUCUAAGGGAUUGUGACCUGAAAGGAUUUAUUUCUAAAUGUGAUGUAAAGUCUCUCCCUCUUCAAGACUCCAUUUUACCUUGCAUGCUUUACACUCUCUCAAAGUACACUAUUUCUCUUCAGAAUCCUUUUUCUUAUUUAAUAAUUAUUGGCAAGGUAGACAUUAAAUAGGUACAUAUAUUUGUUUUCUGCUUUGGGAGUGCUUGCAUUAAUUUCAAGUUGCUUUGAAAAAUAAACCAAGGAGUUCCUGCUGUAGUGCAGUGGGUUCAGGAUCUGGUGCUGUCUCUGCUGUGGUAUAGGUUGCAACUAUGGCUCAGAUUCCGUACCUGGCCCUGGGAACUUCUAUAUGCCACGGGUGUGGCCCCUCCAAAAGCUAUGUAUUGAAAAAAUGCACUAGAAAAAUUUGUAACAGUGCCUUUGAAUUUUUCCACAGUGGUGUCAGUGACAGAAGGCAGCUGUAGCAUUGACUUGAACUUGGUGUAAAGGCUGAUGUUUGACUCCAACUCCAAAAACAAUCAUCAGUCUUACAAUUCAAUCUGAAGGCAUGUGCCUCCUCAGUGAGCCCAUCUUAACUGUCAUCUUUAGUGGGGAGCAUUGCUUGGAAAUCCAGUUUUCAACCUGUCCUUUCUCAUCCUCAGGGUACAUGGCAUGAAAUAUAUUUUUAUCUUGAUAUAGAACAAGUGACUUACUUGGAUCAACCCUGACUAUUAAGAUCAGAAUUUCUUGAAUGGAUAUGUAAGGUAUAAAAACACAGAGAUUUUAUAUUAUUUCUGCAAAAUAAUCUUGUGACGUAACUCUUUUCCUGCUCCAUUAAUUUCAUGUUAAAAUGGAACACAACAUGUUUCACAGGGUGUACAGCAAUAAUGAUAUUUUUUCUUUUCUUUUUUAGUUAAUGUUUUCAAACAGAGGAGUAUUUAUAUAUGACCAAAAAUUCAAAUCUCAGAAUUUUCCCUCUAAUUCCUAUCUUAUUAUGGUUGCCAGAUACAAUGCAGGGGCCUGGUUAAAUCUGAAUUUCAGAUAAACAACAAAUACCUCUUUUAGUAUAAGUAUGCCCCAUUCAAUAUUUGGGACAUACUUGUACUAAGGAGAUCAUUUGUUGUUUAUCUGAAAUUCAAAUUUAACUGAGGCUCUUGUAUUUUUAUUUGCUAAAUCUGGCAACCCCAUAUCUGGGGGCCCCUGAGUUAUGAUCAGAAUUACAUUAUCUCCAGAUUGCAGGUCUAUGAAAUUCCCCAGGGGCCAUUCUUUUCAUGAAUAUGUGCAAAAGUAGAGACUGUUGCACUGGCCAUUCCCAAAGGCCCCAUGGAGCCAUCUGGCUCAGGGUCUAAUGGAUCUAGAUGCUGGAGAUUAACCAGUUCCUCUUUUAAAGUAUGCUAAAAUGCUUUAAAGGAACAAAACAAAUAAUGCCCUUCACACAGUAAGCACUCCAUGUAUUUUUGUUGAAACCUUUCAUGUUCAUUAGUGCCAGUCAAGAGGAGCUGGAUGGUAAAAUAGGACAUCUUAUUGUUCCUACACAAUCCUUCCCCUCUCAAUCUAAGUGCAUUCCCCCUCUUCAGAAACCAGAUGUAAAUUCCACCUUGUUCAAGAAGGCUCCCUUUGCCACCUCAUCACCUCUACCACCCCAUCUCGCCAGCACUGAUGGUUUACACCGUUCAUUUGACAUUUAAUGUAUUCUGCUUCAUAUUUGAACCAACCUCUCAUGUAUAAAUGCCCUUAGGGGAGAAUGUAGAGCAUGAGAGCAUAGCUCUGUGCUUUGCAGCAUGAGCCCUGGAGUCAGAUCAACUUUGGUUUCAAAUGUUGCUCUGCCCCUUCUUACCUUUGGAACCCUGGACAAACACAUUCUCUAGGUCUCAGUUGAGUAUUCUCAUCCCUCAGUAGAACGGGUUUAAUAACACUUCAUGGUGUUGUAUUAAAUGAGAUGAUGUGUGUGUAAUGUCGUCUGAGAGCCGGCAGAGACUCCAAAUCCCCCAGCCACCCAGAUAGUGAAAAGCACUGCCUGGGGACAGAUAAGUGAGCCUCAUUCACUCUAUACUAUAAAGCUUUCAUGUCCUUAUUUCUCUAUUUCUUUGCACUCCUUUAAACCUACACAUUUAAACCACUGCACUGUGCUCUUUUUGGGAGCAUGUGACAAGCAGGAAGACUUUAACUGCCUUAGAGAUUUGUUUCCUUAGUGGCACCAGCAUGCUUAACCCUCCUGGGACUCCGGUCACCACACACUUCCUGCCUUACUCUUUAUUGACUAUUUCUUGCUUCUUUAUUUUUCUCUCAGUCAUCAGUGAGGAAGUUGCAUAAGUUGAAAGCUAAGUAGGACCCCCUUUCCUGCCAUCUGAAGUCAUACAUAUUCUUUUUCCUUAUUGUAACUCUUUUUUAAAUGCCGUGGAAAAUACUCUUCUAAAUGCAAAGUGAUACUUUUGGCAUCCUGGAGCAUGUGUGAGAUAGGAUUUUUGAUGUUUGGUUUCUGGUUAUAUUAUAAUCAACACAGUUACUGGGGAUAUAUAAGUUAAAAAAUAAAUUACAAGUUUCAAGUACACUCUCUGAGUUCUCUACUGGCUUUUUCCAAAAAUCACAUUCAAAAUCCUCUAUGUAAAAACGAAAACGUUUUGGGUCAUCCACUCAUUGGCAUAAUAUUGGCAAAAUUGCAGUCUCUUGGAAGGUUCCAACUGUGACAAAUUCAUUUUUGCAUGGGGACCCAGCACCUUUCUCAUAACAGGUACUCAGCAAACAUCUGUUGAGCCAACUGAUGGAUAGGUAUUUAUUCAACAAGUAUUUAUUGAGCAUUUAAUGAGAUGUAUUGCCCUAAAAUACGUUUGCAGCAUAGUGUUAUUAUCGCUAUGAUCAUUAAUAAAUAAUGAUCUCACCACAACGUUGUUUAUGAUGCAGCCAUCCAGCAAGCCAGUGACAUCAACUCUGGGAGUCUGGGUGAGAGAGUUCAUAAGUUUCUGACUGUGUAGACUUAACUGCAAUUGACCUUGUCAUUCCUGUUGUUACCCACAGAGAAGAACAUGUUCCCAAGUCCCCGCCUAUCUUAUUCCCAUUGAUUAAUCAUUAAAUUUAAAUUCUUUCCAGGAGUUCCUGCUGUGAUGCAACGGGACCAGCGGUAUCUUGAGAACCCUGGGAUGCAAGUUCGAUCCCCAGCCCCACACAGUGGGUUAAGGAUCCAGCUUUGCUGCAGCUGUGGCUUGGGUCACAACUGCAGCUUGGAUCUGAUCCCUGGCCCAGGAAUUCCAAAUGCCACAGGGCCACCAAAUAUAAAUACAUAAAUUUAAAAAAUUAAAAACCAUAAAGUCAUUCCAAAUCCAUCAAGACUCAGAGGCAGUCCAGGGCCUUGCCUUCCCUAGUGGCCGAGGUAGCCUCACAAGCAAAGUCCCCAUCCUGCAACCUUCAGUGUGACCCAUCUAUUCUGUGUCCCCUGUCAUUCUGAGAACAGUGUAACCCUGUGGGAACCAGGCUGUCCCCGAGGUUAGAGACCCCACCUUUAAAAGUAUUACUCUCAGAAAAGCGGGAAAUAUUGUUUCAAUUAUAAGGAUAAAACAUGGGCAGUCAUGAACCACUUAAGAAGCUGCCUAGUAGUUGACUUUAACCACAAAACCAAAAUCACUGUUUAGCUCUUUGCUUCUGCACGGUACAGGGAAGAUCUGAGUGGCAGCUCAGGCAAGCUGGCUAUUUAUUUAAAUAUUUAUUUAGAUAGUUAGUUAGUUAGUUUUUAUUGUUCUCUGAUCCUGAGCUUGCCCUUGAAGAUUUCCAAAGUCUCAGAGUACUUCAGCGUUAAUAGAAAACAGCUCCGUGGUGCCCUCUCUGCAAAGGUGAGCAAGGUCAGUACUCAGAGGAGCAGGCCUCCUGUACACAAGGAGUGAGUGAAGUUUCCAGAACGGCUUUUCAGGUGUUUCCAUUCUUGACUGGUUUUCAUUCCCCCUUUCCAACACAUCACUCCCUUGUGUUGCACCUCAUUUCCUCCCAGUUUCCUUUCCGCCUCUACUUUGUCACGUAUUCAUUGAGACCCUUGUAAGCUUUCAUUUUCUCCUGGUGGAGUCUGGAGGCUUUAUUAAAACCAGACUAUUUCUCAACAAGGAAAUGUUCACAAGGAAGGUCUUCACGCUGACAGCCUCUCCCUCCAACACCCACCCCCACCCAGCAUCUCAACCCCACAUGUAACCCCGCUGCUGCAGACUGGAGGACCCUGAAUCACUCACAGGUGAUGCUCACGAACAGCACUGGCCUUGGAGCCUGGGCUUUGCCCUUUGGGGAGUCAUGGGUGCCACAAACACAUACAAAAGAAAGUUUCAGCAGACACGUGGUCACUUGGAAUUUGACGCGCAAGGCUGCCCAGGACCGCAAGUCGCCCUAAAUAUCCGCUCUUGGGAGGAGCGGUAUUCUGGCUCCAGGGGGAUGCCUCUCCACAUCUCCUGCUUUGUGUUUCCAACCCAAAGUGGCUUCCUCCUGAGGGUGUGAAGGGUGCUUCUGGACCGUGAUGCUGCCAAGCUCAGAGGACGCUUCUCUGGGGAACAGGGAGAGUUGGGCAGCAGAAGCACGUAGGUAAGAAAAAGAUUAAAUUAACCAACUUGUCAAGUCUCUCUUCUUAGCAUGAAUGCAAGAUAAUGAGGUACCACUACCAAAUGGUUCCAAGUUUCCAUUUUGUGGCUUCUUUUUGUGUUCUAAUUCUUGGUUCCAAAAGUAUCCACCUAAUAGCAUGAUAUUCCCAACACUUGCACAUUGUAGCAGAAGAUCAUUCUGUAAUACUAAACAAGUCCUAUUAUUCCUGAGGUUAAAUACAUGUAGGGCUAGAAGUAAACUGUGUGAUAGCAAUGUGUUGGCAAUUGGAUCAACACUGAGCAUUAAAUUGCUAAUAGUUUCAUCUUUAUAAAGAUUUAAUUAAAUGUAAUUAAAUUUAAAUCCCCCCCAAAAUUCCAGCUUCAUUUAAACCAUUUCGAUUUAAAUUUUCCGUUCAUUAAUUAUAUUAAUUAUAUGUCAAAUUUUACCUUUUGUUUUAUAGAAACUGAAGAUUUGAGAAAAAAUUAUGUUUUGAAAACAAAAAUUUUUAUCUUGUCAUGUAUAUGUUUAAUUUACACUUGUGAUGAAAAUAUAGUCAAACUGUGUACACUUUGAAUAAAAUUACAUUUCACUUUUAAUACUUUUAAAUCUAAAGUUUAGAUUUCAAAACUCAGUGAAAAAAGUUACCUGAGGAGUUCCCGUCGUGGCACAGUGGUUAACGAAUCUGACUAGGAACCAUGAGGUUGCGGGUUUGGUCCCUGCCCUUGCUCAGUGGGUUAAGGAUCCGGCGUUGCCGUGAGCUGUGGUGUAGGUUGCAGACGCGGCUCGGAUCCCGAGUUGCUGUGGCUUUGGCGUAGGCCGGUGGCUACAGCUCCGAUUCGACCCCUAGCGUGGGAACCUCCAUAUGCCGCGGGAGUGGCCCAAAGAAAUAGCAAAAAGACAAAAAAAAAAA
ensembl:lncRNA